rnacentral:rRNA from 1 species
UACGUAGGGCGCAAGCGUUGUCCGGAAUUAUUGGGCGUAAAGAGCUCGUAGGCGGUCUGUUACGUCUGCUGUGAAAACCCGGGGCCUUAACCCCGGGCUUGCAGUGGAUACGGGGCAGACUAGAGGCAGGUAGGGGAGAAUGGAAUUCCCGGUGUAGCGGUGAAAUGCGCAGAUAUCGGGAGGAACACCGGUGGCGAAGGCGGUUCUCUGGGCCUGACCUGACGCUGAGGAGCGAAAGCGUGGGGAGCGAACAGG